UACGUAGGGUGCAAGCGUUGUCCGGAAUUAUUGGGCGUAAAGAGCUCGUAGGCGGUCUGUCGCGUCGAAUGUGAAAAUCCGGGGCUCAACCCCGGACCUGCAUUCGAUACGGGCAGACUAGAGUUCGGUAGGGGAGUCUGGAAUUCCUGGUGUAGCGGUGAAAUGCGCAGAUAAUCAGGAGGAAUACCGGUGGCGAAGGCGGGACUCUGGGCCGAUACUGACGCUGAGGAGCGAAAGCGUGGGGAGCAAACAGG
rnacentral:rRNA from 1 species